UUGAAACGCCGGUACUCAUUUGAUCAUCGAAUUUAAACAACGUCGAGCAUGUUUAGUACCUAGAUGGGUGACCUCUUGGAGAUACCACGUGCUGUAAG